UUGUGUGUCCCACAUGACAGCAUUUCCCCUGUCUUUCACAUGGGCAGUAUUUAGUUCAAUUCAGAACUGCAGAUAGUACAGCUUGCACAGCAGCAAUGGGAUGUCUGAGCACAAGUGGCUGACUUCCGAGUGACUUUAUGAAGCACUUUUGUACUUUCCUUGUGCAUUAAAUUGGGAUCUGCAUCCUUGACAUUCACCCACCACACUCAUCUCUACUGAAGGAAACAGUGCAGUAUGAAACUGCCCUAUGCUCAAAUAUCACAAAGAAGGGCAUAAGAAGCACUGAACAGAAUAUGAAGGCAAAAUUCCUGUUGACUUCCAUGUUUAUCUGCACCAGAGGAAUUGGAGCAGAAUUGCAGACCAACAAAUGAAGUGAGCUGAAGGCAAUUUGACCAAUGUUUUCUGUGUGAAUUCCACAGAGGCUGAUGAAGCAUGUUAUCAGGUCUCCAAGGUACAACACAGACAUUAGUCAGUUGUGCCAUAAAAUUAAGACAUUAUUAGGGUCCAGUGUCAAUACAUUAUGAAGAUGUGGCAUUUGAGAGGGUUUUCUUUUAAAUGGAGGAACACCAUGGAGAAUGGAACAGAAGAACAGAUUUUUAAGGAUGCUGUCAAGUCAGUGGAGUUCUCUUUUUAGUGGUUGCUUCAGUGAACAUUCAACGCUGUCGGUGAGUUUGGAAUUAAAGUGAAAACCAUCGACCGUUGAUUGUACCCUCCAGCUAACCAUCAUCCUCCUUACUUCAUGCUUUCAGGCCUUUCACUGAAGACAGCUGCCAAACCAGCACACAAGGUAUCUCUUCCCCCCACCCCAUCCUCUUUGCAGAGCUUUACUAAAAAGGUCACAAUCAACAUUCAUUGCUGUCGGUGGGUUUAACUAUGUGGACAAGCUCACUGAACAAUGAAUGCAACUGUGGCCCCACUUUUUGUGAUCACAGUCAAGAGGAAUAUUAGCUCUGAAAGCAGCACUGAAAGUCUUUCAUAUAUGAAACUUUUCUGAUCAAGAGACGAAUAUCUUCAGGAUUUUUUUUUUUUUUUUAAGCUGGUUUGACUCAGAUGGUUGAGACAACACUCAUUCCUCCCUGGAGUUGAUUACAACAUAAAGGGAGCUCAUUCUGCCAUUAAUCUCUCUUACUUACUACAGAUAUUAACAAAAACUCUGGUAUAGAAAAAGCCUCCCUGUAUGCACCCCCGAGGACUCUGAACACAGGAGGAGAGAUGGUUGAAAACGCCUCUAAAAAUAUAUAUAAUAAUAAAAUAAAAUCUAUGCACUGCAACAUUGCACAUGCAGAGAGAUGAUGGCUAUGUGUGUCCUUGGCAAAACAAGACAAACUCACCCCAAAAUUUCUUACAAAUGGGAGCCUUAGUUAAAGAAUGGCGAUAAUAUUCCUGAUCUUGGUGUAAUACAAUUAACUGCUUUGUGAAGUUUAUUUAAACACCUAAUAAACAUUAAAAAACACAAACCUUA